CAAAAUGCGACACCCGAUGUCCGCGCCCAGCAUGGUAAUUUAGAACGUGUAGAAAAGCAGUCAUUUCUUGCUUUUAUUUUGUUGUCGAGAAGUUAGAGUGGCUAUUCUAUUUUAGGAAAUGCUGUUAAGUUAAACUUCCUCGCUGGGGAAACGUCUGCAAUACAUCUAUUACGACUGAUGGUGUUCCGGAUAAGGAAGCUGGACUACCUCAAGCAGAAACCAAGGAAUCUAUGUCUUCAAUCAAGGGCGUCUCACAUCUCUCCAAGCGAGCUAAGAGACGUUUGUAUUGUAAAUUGUAGCUGUGGAUGUGGCGGAAACAGAGAGAAGUACUUUUGGAAUUUAAUUGGAGGCAGAAAAUUGGUGCCAAUAUGGCGUACCAGAUCAUGCCUCAACAUCACAAACAUCCUACCCUCCGGGCACCAUCAUCCAAACCACAAGCAUGGAACCAGAAAGUGUUGCAGAGUUUGAAUUUGCAGUCCCCUCCAAAAUAACACUCAUUGGAUUGUCAUCUCAAGAAACAAAGAAACUGUGGUUGUUGUCAGAAGCUUGUUGAUGACCAAUCAACACAAGUGCAAGAGCCGUCAGCGGCGCGCACGCAUUGUUGACAAAGGACGAGUGAUGGAUUUAAUGAAUUGGAGUGACGCAGAUGGUUUUAUUAACGUGUUAUUUAUGUAAUAGUUUUUUUAAUAACUCUGAAUUUUACGUCAGGGCCGUUCUCAGCUCUUAGUUUGUGUUGUUGCCACAGUAGCAUAGCUAUCGUUUAGCCUGUUGUUCCUCGUUCUUGACUGUUCUUGGUGUUUGAUUUUGUCGAAUAAAUUGCCCCCUAAAAUGCGACUUAUAUUCCGGAGCGACUUAUAUAUGUUUUUUCCGCUUUUUUGGGCAUUUUAUGGCUGGUGCGAUUUAUACUCCGGUGCGACGUUUAGUCCGAAAAUUACGGUAAGUUUGAAAACAAACAGUUGCACCUGUGAAGUUAAGUAGUUCAGAGAAGGUCACCUAUACAAAUGUUAUUUUUGCAAUUUUGGUUCACCCAAAGCCUCUAAGUCUCAAAAUGUUGAGAAUAUAUUUGCAUUGCCUGUGUUCGUAAUCUCUCUAGAAUUUCUUCAUGACUUCUUCACAAUGUAUGGAACCUUCAUCCCACUGCAAAAACGUGAUGUGCUGAGACACCUGAAGAGGAUGUUUAACACUGGUUUCAAUGACUGGUGAAUAUCUGAAAGCAAACAAAUAAAAUACUUUAUUUUAAUGACACACAGAUCCACAAUUACGUUAUUGUUUGUUCAUUCAAUUUUAAAUAUGCCUAGUUAGUUUUUUUGCAGGAGAAAAUCCAUCUAUGAGGUUGUAAAGUGCAAAAUCUCUCAAAUGUGGAAACCCAUUCCCUCCUUCCGAGUGGUCUUUAAAAAACACACCCUGACCCUGGAUGAUUUGACCACGCUGGCCUAUCAGAACUGGCUCAAUGACCAGGUUUCAUGUGCUUAGCGUCUCAAAUUUCACUUUACUGAGCAGAGCAAUUCUUGGAACAUGCACCGUCCUUUGUUUCUCUUUCUCCUCCUGUAGGUCAUAAACAUGUAUGGGGAAUUGAUUAUGGAGGCUGCUCAACACAAGGUCCAUUUUUUCAACAGUUUCUUCCACCGACAGCUCAUGACCAAGGGUUAUUGCGGUUGUCAAGUGGCAUGGUGGUACGAGAUGGUGUAAAAUUAGGUUGAUUUGUUCUCCAAGAGUCUCCUGUUGGUGCCCAUCCAUCUGGAGGUUCACUGGUGUCUGGUAGCCACAGAUGUCGUGAGAAAGAAGAUCUGUCUGUUUGACUCUCAAGGGAAUGAACUGCUCGACGUUGUACAGAACAUCCUGAACUACUUGAUCGUAGAAGCUAGAGAGAAACGACGCACGUCUUUCAUAAAUGGUUGGACCAUGUCACUAGAAGAGAAUGUGCCACAGCAAACCAAUGAGAAUGUGGCGUUUUUGUCUUGGAGCUACUUUCCCCCAGUCUGUAUUCCAGAUCCCUUGCCUUGGCUCAGCCACUCCACUUUUCACAGAAAAACAUACCGUAUUUUGCGCCCUAUUAGGCGCACCGGGUUAUAAGGCGCACCUUCAAUGAACGGCCCAUUUCAAAACUUUGUCCAUAUAUAAGGCGCACCGGACUAUAAGGCGCAUAAAAUAGAAGCUUUACUGCAACAAACUGAGGUUGACUAGGGUUGCGGUAUGCACCCACUAGCCAAUAACCAACGAGCACUCUGUAAACAAUCGCGUUUCUCAAACGAUCUCCUAUAAAAUGAUUGGAACUGACUAAAGUUCGAUCUAACGCAUUGGUACUACUUACCUAUGUUUCCCUUCCAUAUCGAUCGGUAGAUUUACUCAAAACAUUAAGAGAGCAGCCUAUUUUGACAUGAAAUAGCCUCGCGCGUAUAGCAGCUAUCGUUAUAGAUUUAGCCAUCCGCAAUUUCCCAUGAGCCUCAGCUCGCAAUCUCCCAUGAGCCUUAGCAAAGUGUAAACAAUCGCGUUUCUCCAACGAUCUCCUAUAAAAUGAUCGGAACUGACUAAAGUUUGAUCUAACGCAUUGGUACUACUUACCGUAAAUUCCGGACUAUAAGCCGCGACUUUUUUCCAAAAUUUUGAAUCCUGCGACUUAUAGUCAGGUGCGGCUUAUAUAAGGAUUUUUUUCGUGAUUUUUGUGAUGACUUGAUCACUUUUAUACACUGCGGUAUCUAUCUUGAAGAAAAAAACAACAACAAAAAUACUAUUUUGAAACACUACUAUGGCUGCUGCUUAUUCUGGCUGUGUUGCUUGUGACUAUUAUGAGCUUUAGUAGGAAUGCACGCUAGGUGACCUGCGUCAAAGGGCUCUAAACCCUUCGUCACAGGCAGUGUUUAGAACAGUGCUUCUCAAAUAGUGGGGCGCGCCCCCCAAGGGGGGCGCGGUGCUAUUCCUGGGGGGGCGCGUGUGACCCUGGGGAACAGGCUUUUUUUUUGGCAGUACUAGAAUAAAGUGUAAUUGCGUGUUUACUACAGCAGGGGGCAGUGGCGCUCUCAUUGUUACUUCUGUCACGUUUGCGACAGUGCAACAUUUUACGACUUACAAGACAAGUUAGGAUAGUCACGGUGGGGAGGGGGGGCGCGAAUAGUUUUCUUCUUGCUAGGGGGGGGCGUAACAGAAAAUAAUUGAGAAGCACUGGUUUAGAAAGACAUGUUAAAGUAUGUUAUGAAAACUUUAAAAAGGCUUUCUGUGAACGGUCUUUCCUUGUAAAAAGACGCGUGUGCACGUGCGGCUUAUAGUCCGGUGCGGCUUAUAUAAGAAAAAAACUAAAAUAUCCCCCAAUUUUAGCUGGUGCGGCUUAUAGUCCGGUGCGCCUUAUAGUCCGGAAUUUACGGUACCUAUGUUUCCCUUCCGUAUCGAUCCGUAGAUUUACUCGAAACAUUAACAGAGCAGCCUAUUUUGACAUGGAAUAGCCUCGCGCGUAUAGCAGCUAUCGUUAUAUCAUUAGCCAUCCGCAAUUUCCCAUGAGCCUCAGCUCGCAAUCUCCCAUGAGCCUCAGCAAAGUGUAAACAAUCGCGUUUCUCAAACGAUCUCCUAUAAAAUGAUCGGAACUGACUAAAGUUCGAUCUAACGCAUUGGUACUACUUACCUAUGUUUCCCUUCCAUAUCGAUCCGUAGAUUUACUCGAAACAUUAACAGAGCAGCCUAUUUUGACAUGAAAUAGCCUCGCGCGUAUAGCAGCUAUCGUUAUAGCAUUAGCCAUCCGCAAUUUCCCAUGAACCUCAGCUCGCAAUCUCCCAUGAGCCUCAGCAAAGUGUAAACAAUCGCGUUUCUCAAACGAUCUCCUAUAAAAUGAUCAGAACUGACUAAAGUUCGAUCUAACGCAUUGGUACUGCUUACCUAUGUUUCCCUUCCAUAUCGAUCCGUAGAUUUACUCGAAACAUUAACAGAGCAGCCUAUUUUGACAUGAAAUAGCCUCGCGCGUAUAGCAGCUAUCGUUAUAGCAUUAGCCAUUCGCAAAAUCCCAUGAGCCUCAGCUCGCAAUCUCCCAUGAGCCUCAGCAAAGUGUAACCAAUCGCGUUUCUCAAACGAUCUCCUAUAAAUUGAUCGGAACUGACUAAAGUUUGAUCUAACGCAUUGGUACUACUUACCUAUGUUUCCCUUCCAUAUCGAUCCGUAGAUUUACUCGAAACAUUAACUGAGCAGCCUAUUUUGAAAUGAAAUAGCCUCGCGGGUACAACAGCUAUUCGGUGACGCCCCCUGACUACAGUUACCCUAAUGUUGGGAAGCGAUGCGACCUUGUAAUUUACUAGUCGUACUAAAACGUACUAAAACAUUUUGGCAGAGCACUGUGUACAACCAGUAUGGAUCAACAAAUUCAUCAAUUGAUCCAUAUAUAAGGCGCACCGGACUAUAAGGCGUACUGUCGACUUUUGAUAAAAAUUUAGGUUUUUAGGUGCGCCUUAUAGGGCGGGAAAUACGGUACCUGGGAUACGCAAGCCGAUCUACAAGGAGCUUUGUGAAUGUAACCUCAAAGAACAGGCUCAACAAUGACAAACUGCUCACAAAAAACAAAUGAAAUUUCAGGAUGGAUGAAAACUGAACUUUAUUUGGCCUUUAUUAUUUAUUUAUUUAUUUAAACUUUAAACUAUUAUUUAUUUAAACUUUAUUGUGCAAAUGUUCAAGAGUUUAGUAAGAGUGGCUUCAGAAGAUGUAAAAGAGAGACUGAAAGAGUUAUAGAAGAGCUCAUACAUAGUUUUAGAUUCAUCCUAAUAUUAAAUUAAAUAAUCAUAAAUAAUAAUGUAAAAUUUCAUGAGUUUGAGCAUUUCAAAAUCAUCCUUGCAGUUGCAGCUGUAUUGCAGUGUAGCCUCGAACGCAUCUUGUCUCACGUUGUAAUAACCAAGGCUGCCUUUUAGAAAUGUGAAAUCUGGGCCUGACUAUGACUGCUUGCUUGAAAUAGCAUGAUGUCCUUUUCCUGUUUGACUUGACCAAGUGAGCAUAAAUAUACGACCGCUUAACAUUGAAGAUUUUGUUCCUACAUUUUUGGGUUGAUUUUUGUAUUCUGUUUUUGUGUCCUUUGUGCAUCUUUUAAAAAGAAAUGAACUCAGUUGUGGCGGCUCCACCGAGCACUGGCUAGCACGUCCGCCUCACAGUAAGGAGGGUGCGGGUUCGAUUCCACCUCCGACCCUCCCUGUGUGGCGUUUGCAUGUUCUCCCCGUGUCCACGUGGGUUUUCUCCGGGCACUCCGGUUUCCUCCCACAUCCCCAAAAACAUGCUUGGUAGGCUGAUUGAGCGCUCCAAAUUGCCCCUAGGUGUGAGUGCGUGUGCGGAUGGUUGUUCGUCUCUGUGUGCCCUGCAAUUGUGCCUUGUGUGUGUUUGUUGUUGUUGUUGUCUAUUAUAUAUCUGUAUGUUGUUCAAAAUGUACGGAUAUCUGGCCAAUAUCUGAUACUUAUGGGAAACCAGGCCCCCUAUUAAAAGCUUUAAAUAGCUUGCUUGGGGUGACCUUUCACGCAUCCGUAAUACUGUUUGUUGUUUCAUGUUGUAUGUCUUGGAUAUUGCGUGAAUAAACUCAAACUCAAUUGGCUGGGAACCAGUUCAGGGUGUCCCCCGCCUACUGCCCGAUGACAGCUGGGAUAGGCUCCGGCAAGCCCGCGACCCCUGUGGGGAUAAAGCGGUACAGAAAAUGGAUGGAUGGAUGAACUCAGUUGAUGUUUUUUUCAAAAGCAUCGAACGUUGGGUACACGUCAGUUAGACAGUAUUUGUUCAUGUUAGCCAAACGGUUGGAAGCCCUUACAUUUCUUGUCGCUCAGUGGAUAGGGGGCUCAAAAGGUACUUUUUAUUCUUUAUGGAAUAUUGCAAUAGAAGCUGAGUGCUGUGUUGUAUGGAUGUAAAAGUGGAAAUUGAAGUAUUUUUCUUUUGUUGGUCAAGUGUUACAGAAUUUCAUAAAAAUAAGACAUUUACAUGGA